rnacentral:sRNA from 1 species
UAAUGAAAAUAGAAAAGGAGUUGAGCAGUAACUCAACUCCAUGUAGAACCGUUUAAGACGGCAGCAAAGUUUAUUGUUAUUAAAA